GAGGUCCAAGAGAGCUUGCUCUCUGAAGACCUAGUGGCGAACGGGUGAGUAACACGUGAGAAACCUGCCUCGGAGUGGGGAAUAACUCGGGGAAACUCGAGCUAAUACCGCAUACCUUCAGAUGGUCGCAUGGCCGACUGAAGAAAGAAUUUCGCUCUGGGAGGGUCUCGCGGCCUAUCAGCUAGUUGGUGGGGUAACGGCCUACCAAGGCAGCGACGGGUAGCUGGAUUGAGAGAUCGAUCAGCCACACUGGGACUGAGACACGGCCCAGACUCCUACGGGAGGCAGCAGUGGGGAAUCUUGCGCAAUGGGCGAAAGCCUGACGCAGCAACGCCGCGUGCGGGAUGACGGCCUUCGUGGUUGUAAACCGCUUUCAGCAGGGACGAAAAUGACGGUACCUGCAGAAGAAGCUCCGGCUAACUACGUGCCAGCAGCCGCGGUAAUACGUAGGGGGCAAGCGUUGUCCGGAAUCAUUGGGCGUAAAGAGCUCGUAGGCGGUUCAGUAAGUCGGGUGUGAAAGCUCCGAGCUCAACUCGGAGAGGCCACUCGAUACUGCUGUGACUAGAAUCCAGUAGGGGAGUGUGGAAUUCCUGGUGUAGCGGU
rnacentral:rRNA from 1 species